AGGGAGCUAGUCCAAAAUAAGACCUCUGAUUUCGGCUCAGAAAAUCGUGGCUUGUCUCCACGGCCCCCUU
rnacentral:tRNA from 1 species